CCCCNGUGGGNGCUNUAGGCGCCCUUNCNUGCCAUUUUGGAAACCGUGGUUKGUAACACAAUCCUUACCAGCUUCUCUCCCUUUGUUUGGAUUGAGGACAGGGACGACGGUUUGCGACAACCCAGGGGACGUGCCCUGUGCCGGAACGUGUGGGGCACAACUUGGCUUUCACCACUCCAUGGUUCGYGGGAUUGCGCAAUUCACACCUGGUAUCAACWUUCGCUACGUUCUUCAUCGACGGAUAUSUCGACUCUCCGUUGCCGAAAGUCGUUUUAAACUUUUGAWCUUGGUGUGAAUURVCAAUCCACCGUCUCCCGAGACUUUGAGGCUUGCU
rnacentral:misc_RNA from 1 species